GCCUUGGUAGUUUAGUGGCUAAAACACGUCCCUGUCGCGGACGAGUCCCGGGUUCGAUUCCCGGUCAGGGCG
rnacentral:tRNA from 1 species